UACGUAGGGUGCGAGCGUUGUCCGGAAUUAUUGGGCGUAAAGGGCUCGUAGGCGGUUUGUCACGUCGGGAGUGAAAACUCGGGGCUCAACCUCGGGUCUGCAGUCGAUACGAGCAAACUAGAGUGUUGCAGGGGAGACUGGAAUUCCUGGUGUAGCGGUGAAAUGCGCAGAUAUCAGGAGGAACACCGGUGGCGAAGGCGGGUCUCUGGGCAACAACUGACGCUGAGGAGCGAAAGCGUGGGGAGCGAACAGG
rnacentral:rRNA from 1 species